AGUAAGUGGGUGCAGGCAGGGCCUGAGUGGUCACUAGAAAUGAGACAGCACAGUUGGUCCCAUCACAUACAUUCACCUCCUGCUUUAUUCUGAAGUUCAAGUGUGAGAAUACGUGUUGACAUACAACCCAGCUAUGGUGCAGUCAGCCUCAAUUUCCGAAGCCGGAAAAGGAUCCUCUAGUAGCCACAGUGUGGCAGCUGCUCUGAACCAGGACCUGGACCCGGACCCAAAGUGCCAUGUCUUCAAUGUUAGCUCCCAGUGAUGCCAGAUGGGAUCAGCACAGCCCUGCCUCUGCUGCUAAUUGUUCCUCUAAAGUAAUCGCCAUGCGUUCUUCGGGCUUCACCUUUAAAGGAAUGAAGCGACUGAGAUUAUUCUGGAAAACCUUUUGGCAGUUAGUGAAAUUAGAGUACAACUAAGAACAUUUUCAGACCUCCACUGUGGAUGACUGGGGUAUAAUCUCACAAAUCGAUGGGACUGCAGGGAUUGUAAACUGAAAUGAACAUGAUUAUACUCUGUUGGAAGAGCCUAAGAGGAAACUGAUGCCAUGAGUUUCAGAGAGUAAUGCUUAACCCCAGUUACACAGGAUGCCGUCUUAUGUUUUCUCUUUUUUAGUUACCCACUACAUUGAUUUUGUGAUCUGCUAAUGGGUUGCCACCCACAACCAUUGCUUUAGCACUUUUACUUCAAAUCAAUGAAGGAUUGAUAAAAGUUCUCCUGGUGUCUCCGCAGAGUGGCUUCCAGGAACAGAUCUUUGCAUAGAAUAUCAGUGGUUUCCUUUUUUGUUUCAAAUAGUGGUCAGAAAAUACCCAGUGUUGACUCACCAAGGCAAUCAGCUUCCUUUUUCCCUUUUUUUUUUUUACAUUUUAUAUUUUUGC
rnacentral:lncRNA from 1 species